CUGAUGUUAGCGGCGGACGGGUGAGUAACACGUGGAUAACCUACCUAUAAGACUGGGAUAACUUCGGGAAACCGGAGCUAAUACCGGAUAAUAUUUUGAACCGCAUGGUUCAAAAGUGAAAGACGGUCUUGCUGUCACUUAUAGAUGGAUCCGCGCUGCAUUAGCUAGUUGGUAAGGUAACGGCUUACCAAGGCAACGAUGCAUAGCCGACCUGAGAGGGUGAUCGGCCACACUGGAACUGAGACACGGUCCAGACUCCUACGGGAGGCAGCAGUAGGGAAUCUUCCGCAAUGGGCGAAAGCCUGACGGAGCAACGCCGCGUGAGUGAUGAAGGUCUUCGGAUCGUAAAACUCUGUUAUUAGGGAAGAACAUAUGUGUAAGUAACUGUGCACAUCUUGACGGUACCUAAUCAGAAAGCCACGGCUAACUACGUGCCAGCAGCCGCGGUAAUACGUAGGUGGCAAGCGUUAUCCGGAAUUAUUGGGCGUAAAGCGCGCGUAGGCGGUUUUUUAAGUCUGACGUGAAAGCCCACGGCUCAACCGUGGAGGGUCAUUGGAAACUGGAAAACUUGAGUGCAGAAGAGGAAAGUGGAAUUCCAUGUGUAGCGGUGAAAUGCGCAGAGAUAUGGAGGAACACCAGUGGCGAAGGCGACUUUCUGGUCUGUAACUGACGCUGAUGUGCGAAAGCGUGGGGAUCAAACAGGAUUAGAUACCCUGGUAGUCCACGCCGUAAACGAUGAGUGCUAAGUGUUAGGGGGUUUCCGCCCCUUAGUGCUGCAGCUAACGCAUUAAGCACUCCGCCUGGGGAGUAC
rnacentral:rRNA from 1 species